rnacentral:sRNA from 1 species
AUAUCUCUCUGUACGGGAAGGAUGAGAAGCUUCGACCAAGGUUCGAUUCGAGCGCAGCGAGAAAGCGUUGCCGCAGGCAACGACCCGAAGGGCGAAGCGCGCAGCGCUGAGUAAUCCAUCCCCCCCCACCC